GGGCGUGGCCCAGCACUGGCAGGCCUAAUUUUCUUUCAAGGCCCAUUUUACUGAUUGAGUCUACUCCUCCGGAAAGACCAGAGAAACCUAAACAAAAAGAUACAUACCAUAUAUGGCAAGGAUCACAAUGAAUAUUUCCACCAAACUACAGAUGUGCUCAUCCACAUGACAGUACCACGUGGCCUGUUUACAAGCUCAUAUCAACAGAGAUGCAAACAUUUUAAACGGAUUGUGCAAGAGUUUUCGAUGCUGCCAGACCUGAUGAGUUUUUUCUGUUUUUGUUUACUUCCAUACCCACUGACACAGAGUCACAGCAAUAUGUACCACCUACAAGAUGUGAUACAGAUACUCACCAAGGCUCUUUAACAGUAACUUCCAAACCAAAGAUCUCUACCACACAUGGAAACAGAAACAUGGGAACACCACCACCUGCACAUUCCCCUCUGAGCCACAAACCUGAAUUAGAAAUAUAUAAUUGCUUAAUCAGCGUUGAUGGGCUAAAAUCCGGGAAUGCUCUCUGAAAUGAGACGGUGGAGGUCUCCCAACUCCAAGGCUGCAGUGUUUCAAGAAAGCAGAUCACCACUGCCUUCUCCAGGGGCAGUUAGGGAUGGGGAAAUAAAUAGUGUCCUUGCCCAUGAUUUUUAUGAACAAAUAAAAACAGUCCCACAGUGAGGUAUAGCAGUGUAUUGAUCAGAACAAGAACACUUGCCUAUUUUUAAUUUUCUUUACCCUGGAUAUCAGACAUUACCUGAAUAGUACCCUGGCUAAAAUCAGGCAAAUCAGCAUUGACCUCUUGGCUUGAAUAGCUCACUUCUGCAAUAAGUAUUGCAAUUAUCAAUCACUCAAAGAGAAGCCUUUUGCAGAAACUUUAUAAUUAACUUAAUACCAUGUAGCAAAUGACAAUCUAGGCAAAUUUCAGGCUGUGCAUUGAGCCUAAUUUGACAGCAAUUGCCAAAAUUCAGCCCAGCUUUAUCUUAGUGGUGAAUUCAAAUAUAUUUCAAUUACUGAGUGACA